AGGAGGACAGUGUUCAUCUUCCUAGAAAAGAUGCAGCAACAGGGCUCCAUCUUGAAGCAGAGAAAACAGUCCUCACCAGACACGAAUCUGCCGGCACCAUGAGUUUGGAUAUCCCAGCCUCCAGAACUAAGGGCACCGUCUAUCAAGCACUUCCCUCGUGACAGGCACGGAGCCAACGUUCCCGUUUGAUUCUUCUCAUCUCCAUAAGGGAGGCAAUGAUGCCAUCCACAGGGGACAGGGACACCCGGAGCGGUGAACGUACUGCUGAGGUCGCUCGGUCAGUAACUGGUGGAGACUUAGACACGAGGUGUCUGACUCCAGAGCCCCUGGCGGCCCAGAACCGAGAUCUUGGCUGACUUUGGAACCACCGAGAGCUGCACAAACGCCGAUGCUUGGGACCCCCAGAUUCGAUUUCACGGCCCGGGCUGCUGUCUUGACCGGGAUUUUCCACACU
rnacentral:lncRNA from 1 species